CUUGAUUUGUGCCAAUGAUUGGAUUCGUGGAUCCAACAUUAUUAAUGUUGAAGAGAAUACCGAAGAAAUGGCUAAGCUUGAGGAAGAUAUUGGUGGCCUUACCAUUUCGAAGGAGGGGACUACUAUUGAAUCUUGAUAAUGGACUGCAGGAGAUUGCAGGCUGCCAGGCGUGUGCUCUCAAAGUGUCAAGGACUCAGCUGACUGCAAAGUGCAAACUCAAACUGAAAUUGUUGUCUACUGG